AUUGAACGCUGGCGGCAGGCUUAACACAUGCAAGUCGAGCGGGGACUUCGGUCCUAGCGGCGAACGGGUGAGGAAUGCUUGGGAAUCUGCCCAGUAGCGGGGGAUAACGUUUCGAAAGGAGCGCUAAUACCGCAUACGCCCUACGGGGGAAAGGGGGGGAUCUUCGGACCUCUCACUAUUGGAUGAGCCCAAGUCGGAUUAGCUAGUUGGUGGGGUAAAGGCCUACCAAGGCGGCGAUCCGUAGCUGGUCUGAGAGGAUGAUCAGCCACACUGGAACUGAGACACGGUCCAGACUCCUACGGGAGGCAGCAGUGGGGAAUAUUGGACAAUGGGCGAAAGCCUGAUCCAGCCAUGUCGCGUGUGUGAAGAAGGCCUUCGGGUUGUAAAGCACUUUAAGCGAGGAGGAAUGGCUCUGGGUUAAUACCCUUGAGCAGUGACGUUACUCGCAGAAUAAGCACCGGCUAACUCUGUGCCAGCCGCCGCAGUAAAAC
rnacentral:rRNA from 1 species